rnacentral:lncRNA from 1 species
GUGUUUUUGGUUGAUAUUUUUGUGUUGCUUGAUGUGCCAUAUCAUACAUAAAGGUCUUGUCCUAAAUAAAUAGUUGAUUGCUAUCAAUUUUUGCAGUAUAAGCUCAAAAUAUGUAUGUUUUGUAAAGAAGUUACUAGCAGUCUUCAGUAUGCAAGAAUUUCUCCAAUGACAUACCAACUGUAAAGUAGGAGCACAUGCCCUUCCUGGCUGUAUCACUCCUCAUUCAUGCUAGACUAGUGUAUACUUUUACACUAGUUUUAGACUAGUGUAUACUUCUAC